AUGGAGGGUGAGAUGGGUAAGGGGAGACUGUGGGGUAUACAGAUCUGAAGAUAGCAGGCAAGCAUUAGAGUCCAUCAAAGGUAGGGAAUGGGUGGUUGUGGGGAAAGGGGAGGCAGGGGAUGUCAGAGCAGCUUGGGCAUAUCAGGGAUGACACCAGAGGGUCCUGGAAAGUAGAACCAGGCUCAGCUUACAGUACUGAUGAGGACACACCAAGCAUAGCUUUAUGGGGCCUGGGUCUGAGCUCAGCCCUGAUACCAGGUCCUAACAGGAGUGGUUGGAAUGAUAGAAGGUGACUGGGCCCUUUUGGCAGAGUGUUGGCUGGGGUGACUAGGACAGACUGGGACUUAAAAAGAUGCCCAGUAUCAAAAACAGAAGGACAAGCAUCUCAUAGCCACUACAUCUCUGUAGGCUGGUUUGUAGCUGUGAUGACUGAGGGCUCCACAGGCCUCUGGUCUGUGUUCUAUUCUGUGUGUACAGUGUGGAAGCCAGAUCAGAAGGCCCCCUUCCCUUCUCUCUCUGACUUGCUGACUUGGCUUCCUCUGAUCCUAAUAGACCUUAGGCCUUCCCCCAGCUUCAGCAGCCUCCGCUAAUCCACAGCUGGUAUUAAGCCAAAUGAACUCUCAGCUUGCACGGAGGCCUCAAUGUUUGUUCAAAGAACAAAUGAACAGACGGCUGUUGCCAAGACCCAGCUUCUGCACUGCUGUCCAAUUAGUCAGGCCUUGGGAUAUGGACCAGCUCUGGGGCUCUCAGAUCCUCUACCCCUAGAUAUCCCUGCCUGUUGUCUGAAUGUUGGGAGGGGAGACCGUAAGGCCCGGGAAUCUUCCCUUCAGUUUCAGGACCAGAUCUUGGUACAUCAAAGCCCCUGGGCCCAGACCAGGGAUGCAUAGCCCUGCUCCCUCAGAAUUGGAAUGCAGGAGGAAGGCAGCUGAGCAGAUGCAUAGUGACCUUAUAACCUUCUUUACGGAGUGCUAUGGCCCCCACUCACAGAGGCUCAGUGAGGCAGGGAGGAAGGGAAAGCCAUGUGGCAAUGCAGACUAGAGCUCAGAGAGAGGGGCUUAUGCUCAUGCCACACAGCAUGUCAGGUGUGGUGCUUACAGGAAUUGUUGACAAGUGACCUGGACUUCUUCUGGAUCCUGCAUCCUGUCCCAAGCAGAACGCCAGUGUAGCACUAUAGCCCAAGAGACCAGGGGAGGACCAGCCCCAGAAGUACUUAGGACCAGCCAUAUCCUGCAGCUCGUAAAAAAGGAGAAAGCCGACCGGCCUGACCCCUACCAAGAGCCCUCAUCCAGUGGCUGAUGGAAGCAGAGGCAGACACCCACAGAUAUACACUGAACUGAACUCUGGAACAUAGUUGCAGAGAGGAAGAAAUGAAGAUCAAAGGGGUCAGUACCAG
rnacentral:lncRNA from 1 species